UACAGAGGUCUCAAGCGUUUGUUCGGAUUCAUUGGGCGUAAAGGGUGUGUAGGUGGCGCCGUAAGUCGGGUGUGAAAUUUCGGAGCUUAACUCCGAAACUGCAUUCGAUACUGCGGUGCUUGAGGACUGGAGAGGAGACUGGAAUUCAUGGUGUAGCAGUGAAAUGCGUAGAGAUCAUGAGGAAGACCAGUGGCGAAGGCGGGUCUCUGGGCCGAUACUGACGCUGAGGAGCGAAAA
rnacentral:rRNA from 1 species